GACGAACGCUGGCGGCGUGCUUAACACAUGCAAGUCGAACGGAAAGGCCUGCUUUCCCUUGUGGAUUGCGGGUACUCGAGUGGCGAACGGGUGAGUAACACGUGAGUGAUCUGCCCCCAACUUGGGUAUAAGCCUGGGAAACUGGGUCUAAUUCCCGAUAGGACUGCAGGGUGGUGCCUGUGGUGGAAAACGAUUUUCUAGUGGUUGGGGAUGAGCUCGCGGCCUAUCAGCUUGUUGGUGGGGUAAUGGCCUACCAAGGCGGCGACGGGUAGCCGGCCUGAGAGGGUGGACGGCCACAUUGGGACUGAGAUACGGCCCAGACUCCUACGGGAGGCAGCAGUGGGGAAUAUUGCACAAUGGGCGGAAGCCUGAUGCAGCGACGCCGCGUGGGGGAUGACGGCCUUCGGGUUGUAAACUCCUUUCGACCGCGAGGAAGCCACCUGGUUGGAAGGGUGGUGACGGUAGUGGUGGAAGAGGCACCGGCUAACUACGUG
rnacentral:rRNA from 1 species